ACACGAACCGGACAAACGUUAUUCGGAAUUAUUGGGCUUAAAGGGUGCGUAGGCGGCGCGGUAAGUGAGGUGUGAAAUCCCACGACUCAAUCGUGGAACUGCGCUUCAUACUGCCGUGCUAGAGGGAGACAGAGGUAAGCGGAACUGAUGGUGGAGCGGUGAAAUGCGUUGAUAUUAUCAGGAACACCAGUGGCGAAAGCGGCUUACUGGGUCUCUUCUGACGCUGAGGCACGAAAGCUAGGGUAGCGAACGGGAUUAGAAACCCCAGUAGUCC
rnacentral:rRNA from 1 species